UUUCUGCAGCUGCGAAGCCCAGAACCUUGUCCUGAAGGCGAGGGGAACGACGGUGUCAGAUGUCAUCUGUGACACCCCGCCCCCUCCUGCCCAAAAGGACACAGAGAGGACCCACUUGUUGGCAUUGCUCCCCGUGGCGGGCCUCCUUCUCCUGGGGGGCUUCUUGGCUGUCUGCUAUUGGCUCCGAGGCAGGGGUCUCCAGAAGCAGCAGCAACAUCAGCCACAGCAACACAACCAGG